AAACCGCUGGCGAGGUACGUGCAUGUUU
rnacentral:ncRNA from 1 species